UACGAAGGGGGCUAGCGUUGCUCGGAAUCACUGGGCGUAAAGAGCUCGUAGGCGGUUUGUUGCGUCGGCUGUGAAAUCCACUGGCUUAACUGGUGGCUUGCUUUCGAUACGGGCAGACUGGAGGUAUGCAGGGGAGAACGGAAUUCCUGGUGUAGCGGUGAAAUGCGCAGAUAUCAGGAGGACACCAGUGGCGAAGGCGGCCCGCUGGGCAGUGGCUGACGUGAAGCGCGACAGCGUGGGGGAGCAAACAGG
rnacentral:rRNA from 1 species